UACGGAGGGGGCUAGCGUUAUCCGGAAUUAUUGGGCGUAAAGAGCUCGUAGGCGGUUUGUCGCGUCUGCUGUGAAAGACCGGGGCUCAACUCCGGUUCUGCAGUGGGUACGGGCAGACUAGAGUGCAGUAGGGGAGACUGGAAUUCCUGGUGUAGCGGUGAAAUGCGCAGAUAAUCAGGAGGAACACCGAUGGCGAAGGCAGGUCUCUGGGCUGUAACUGACGCUGAGGAGCGAAAGCAUGGGGAGCGAACAGG
rnacentral:rRNA from 1 species